CAGGCACCUAUAUGUAGGAACGCGAUCACUGCCUGGAUGUGCUACCUCCUAUCUCUCCCGGCUUCCGGGACGUGUAUUAGUUUGGGGUGGAUGCCCGCUUGGCUGGUGUAGCCACCAUCAGGUGAAUGCUCUCUUCAGUAAGAGUGUGGUCUGUUCUGUUGGCGUUGAGGCCGGUGUAGCACUGUUGAGCCUGGUGCCUGCCUUAAAGCAGCGUGAGCAGUGUGGUCGGAGCUAGCAGCGCCUCCUCGUCUUCUCCUCAACUUGAUCAAGAGCAAAACCUUUUUUUUUACAUCGAUGUACGACGUCGGCUGGCAUCUCCCAAGUGUCUCCACACCACAACAAGGCUGCUGUUCUGUCUUACGUUAAGUUCUCCAUAAUGACUUGAUGUGGGCUUAUUGUUCGCUCUGCUAAUUGUUGGUUCUGUCUGGUUCUGGUAUUGUCUGCCUUACCGACUGGGAUUAAGUGUGCAUACUUCAUGUUGUCUUAGUGUACUGCAUGUCUAAGUCUGCUGGGCCGUGUGGUGCCUAUUUUGCAUGUUUAAUUGUGUGCUUGCUUUUCUUUAUGUGCAUGUGGCUCUUGUGUUAAUUUUUGGUUGUUGAUCCUGUGCUUCCCUCUUUCAAUCCUUGUUCAAUGCAUGAACUGCAUGGCUUGUGCUGCAUGCGCAAUUCAUCCCCAUUGUAACUAUCCCAGAUAGCAAAAAGUAUUUGGCCCGGAUCCGGCCCAGAUCCACCUUACGAUCUGGGCCGGUUCCGCAAAACGGAUCUGGGCCGGUGUCUUUUGGCACAACGGGCCAAUACCGUUCCGGAUCCGUUUUCAUGAUCUGGCCCAGCUCUGGAACGGCUCUGAACCGGAUGUGUUUUUUAUGAGGCGGAUCUGGGCCGGUGUCUUUUUGGCACAACGGGCCAAUACCGUUCCAGAUCCGUUUUCAUGAUCUGGCCCAGCUCUGAAACAGCUCUGAACCGGAUGUGUUUUUUAUGAGGCGGAUCUGGGCCGUAUUUGGGCCAAAUGUACAAAUUAUUGCAAUGAUCUGGGCCAGAUCCGGCCCAAAUAAGUAUUCGAUAGUGGCGAUUCCGGCCCUUAUUUGGCCCAAAUGUGGACCGGCUCUUGCCUCGGCCAACUCAUUUUACGUCUGGCACCCAUGUGUACUAAAUAUUAAAUGUCACUAACAAAUCAAGCAGUUAUAGUAGGCUAUUUGUUGUUUGUUAAGAUUGUCAAAUCUAUAAACGAUUACCAAUAAUGUUUUUUAAACAGUAACAUCUAACAUCUAAUACCCCUAGUUUGACUCAGUAGUCAGAUCGUGUAUAUUGAGUGUUCAUUCAAAGAUGUUACUGAUAAUUUAUCUAAAAAUCAAAACCUUGUACUCUUAAGAAACAUAUUUCAGAAAAGAAGCAAAAUUCUAAAUUUUACUAUAUUUAUUAUAUAAAUAGAAUC